rnacentral:rRNA from 1 species
GAGGUGUGUUUACUUUUUACAAGGUGACCGACAGCGACGUUCGGACGUUUCAGACGGGUGCAGAGAGGAGCACAACUGCAACUGAAACUGAUUACGUGCGCGAAGAACGUUGAAUGAAGCAGAGCUGAGAGUCCGCCUCUAGACGUUGCGACGGUGUCGUUCGUGAUUGGACGCUGCCCGUUGUACGCAGCGUCGGCGGCCCUUGGCUGCUGAGGUAACGGCUGGAGCCGGAGGCCUCCGACCUCCGGCGGCUACUCCGGCAUUCCUCCACCCGUAGAGCCCCGCGCCGGCAGCUCCUGUCGCUGCCGCAGCAGAGGAUGAGCCGACCAGAACACCGCCGCCAGUUCCUGGAGUAGAGGGAGGCGAGUCCACCACCGCCGGAGAUGCUUUAGCGGAAUGUCCAACGGUACCAUGUGGAACUCCUACUGAAGGCGGUUCAAGAAUGAAGUCCGUGUAUAAAUAUGGGGGGAUUGUCAGAGGUUCUUAGUGACGUGCUGACGUAACGGGGGAAAUACGCUAGGAAGAGUAAAAGUAGUUAGGGGUUGAACCUUCUAGAGUCGAAGAGUAGUAAAAGGUGUUCAGGAUCACCACUCUCGGCUUCAAUACCAUGACCUAUAUCGUCGCCAGGACACACGUACCUCUUUCAUGUGUACAUAGACUAACUGGGACUUCGAAGCUAGAUAGAUUUCCUCUAACGACUCGAAUACUAUGAACGACCGGUACGUGGUUUGUACACAGCACUAAUGCCUCUUUGUGCGGUGUUGUACAAUUACGUUACGGAAAGAGACGAGCCACAAGUCUAACUCGUUUUUUCGGUGUUGUUGGUUCGUCUUCGUUGACGGUUACCGCGUACGUCGUACGUCGAUAUACUCUUCUUAGUCUUUUACACCUAGGUUCGUGAGUCUCAGCAACAGUCGUAUCAGGAGGGACUUCUUGCGCUGCGAACGCGAGUCUAAAAGCCCACACUAGCAUUCCACCUCCUCCUAACAAAACGGUCUCGGUGGUGUCCCACAUGACCUGUUAACGAGCGUCAACCUUCAUACUACUGGUUACAGUUUCACUUACUGGUCGUUAUAGUAUUUCAUGGGGACGAAGAUGUCUACGUACUCCUUAACCAUUUCGAAGUUGGUUCAUAUUUACAGGAGUACAGACCACUACGGUUCCCACACUAAUCACUCGUCCGGUCAAACGAAGAUCUAUUCGAACCCCUUCUUCGUAGUUCAGAGGAAGACCUCAAGGACUUACAUAUAAGAUUGGAAUUUGGUACGGUUGUAUUUCAUGAACUACCUCUAUAGGACGGUAACUGUGCGGUACAGUAGUAAAAAUAACUUGAUGAACAACUCAUGUUACUGUGCUAGUUAGUAUAUAAUGGGGCACACCUCCUGCUGCUACUCCCCUUCCCCUUCCUCGUCUCGUGUUUCUCUUGAUUCUCAGCGACCCUUGCAAUACACGAGUACAACGAGCGAGCAAACGUCGACUUCCAACUCCUCUUACGACUCAGAAUGCUCCUGCUCGCGUACUCCAUGUAAAAGGACUACUUAUUACGUUACGUACACCAAUUUCCGAGUCCCAGAGGGCUAGACUCAUACAGGUACCCCUUGCUGUUGGUGGUUGUCGAACAGUAUGCCCACCUUGUCAUACGCUGUCGAAUGGAAGCUCGUAGUACCUGACUUCGAGACGAAGUCAACUCACUAGUGCCACACUCAUUUAUAAGACACUUAAAGCCAGGUCCUAGACAGAGAGUUACCUACUCUUUUUCGUACUUCUUAAAGUUAAGCCGUAAGCCUCUUUAUUCGUCCCAGGUUUGCUGUACCUUUCACGGGUUGGGAGUUGAAUCUGUUGUGAAUGCCAAUUAAUAUAACGUCGUUCAAGAAUUGCGAAUAGCGUGUGAAAAUCCUUCCAUACUGACGACAGACCCUUUUUUAGGUUCGUUCAUGUAUUUCAUGUGAGGACUGCUGUAUCUCUUAGUACAAAACCUGGACAAGCUUCCAAUUGUUCCUAGUCGCCUCGAGAAGGCCGCUUCUUGCGCCGUGCGAAGCCUCGCCCUUCAAG